rnacentral:rRNA from 1 species
CACGUAGGGCGCAAGCGUUGUCCGGAAUUAUUGGGCGUAAAGAGCUCGUAGGUGGUUUGUUACGUCUGCUGUGAAAUCCUAGGGCUUAACCCUGGGCUUGCAGUGGAUACGGGCAGACUAGAGGUAGGUAGGGGAGAAUGGAAUUCCUGGUGUAGCGGUGAAAUGCGCAGAUAUCAGGAGGAACACCGGUGGCGAAGGCGGUUCUCUGGGCCUUACCUGACACUGAGACGCGAAAGCGUGGGGAGCGAACAGG